UAGCUGCUGAGCUUCAACUGCCCCUGAGGGAGCUCAGGGUGGAGUGAGGCUCUCUGUGCUCCAGGGGAUCUGGUGGGACAAGUCUUUAGAUAGUUGGAUGUUUUAUCAUCAGUUUCAGUUCAGUCACUCAGUC